AUUCUUUGUUUUCUUGUUGUAGCUCAUUUUGAUUCGGUCGAAGGAAAUGAAUUUUAUGGCUAGGUUUUCAAUCCCUUUUGGUCUUUUGAUUUGAGCUAACUGCAAUGUUGUUCAAUCCGAAAUAGAUUAUGUGAGUGUGAGGUUUUUUUUAUGUUCGUUUUGGUGCGAGGGUUUAUGAGUGAAUCGUUCUUUGGAAAAAAACAGAGGGCCGAAUGAGAGAGAAGAGAGUAAGCAUUUAUUAUUUUUUUUAGGUUUGUUUAUGCUGGUAUUAUUGAUAAUGUCUGUUAAAUGCAUUUCAAU
rnacentral:lncRNA from 1 species